AACGAACGCUGGCGGCAUGCCUAACACAUGCAAGUCGAACGAGACCUUCGGGUCUAGUGGCGCACGGGUGCGUAACGCGUGGGAACCUGCCCUUAGGUUCGGAAUAACUCCCCGAAAGGGGUGCUAAUACCGGAUAAUGUCUUCGGACCAAAGAUUUAUCGCCUUUGGAUGGGCCCGCGUUGGAUUAGCUAGUUGGUAGGGUAAAAGCCUACCAAGGCGACGAUCCAUAGCUGGUCUGAGAGGAUGAUCAGCCACACUGGGACUGAGACACGGCCCAGACUCCUACGGGAAGCAGCAGAGGGGAAUAUUGGACUAUGGGCGGAGGCCUGAUCCAGCAAUGCCGCGUGAGUGAUGAAGGCGUUAGGGUUGUAAAGCUCUUUUACCCGGGAUGAUAAUGACAGUACCGGGAGAAUAAGCACCGGCUAACUCCGUG
rnacentral:rRNA from 1 species